rnacentral:misc_RNA from 1 species
UAAUAAGUGUUUUAUGGCACUUUUUAAAUCCAUAUCCACCUUGUGUGCAAUGUCAGUCGAUCUUCUUUCUGGAGGAUCGACCAAACAUCAACCUUUAUUUUUAACUCUUUGUCUGAAAAAUAUUAUGAAUAAACAAUUCAAAUA